rnacentral:rRNA from 1 species
GGCUACACACGUGCUACAAUGGGUAGUACAGAGAGUCGCAAAGCCGUGAGGUGGAGCUAAUCUCAGAAAACUAUUCUUAGUUCGGAUUGUACUCUGCAACUCGAGUACAUGAAGUUGGAAUCGCUAGUAAUCGCGAAUCAGCAAUGUCGCGGUGAAUACGUUCUCGGGUCUUGUACACACCGCCCGUCACGCCACGAGAGUUGGUUGCACCUGAAGUAGCAGGCCUAACCGUAAGGAGGGAUGCUCCGAGGGUGUGAUUAGCGAUUGGGGUGAAGUCGUAACAAGGUAUCCGUACGGGAACGU